rnacentral:misc_RNA from 1 species
UCCCGGUUGUCCCGGGCAGUAUCGCCUGAAAAAUACAACAGGCAAAAGGGGUUGCGCUCGUUGCGGGACUUAACCCAACAUCUCACGACACGAGCUGACGACGGCCAUGCAGCACCUGUCACCAGGUUCCCGAAGGCACCCCUCUGUUUCUAAAGGGUUCCUGGGAUGUCAAACCUCGGUAAGGUUCUUCGCGUAUCAUCGAAUUAAACCACAUCAUCCACUGCUUGUGCGGGUCCCCGUCAAUUCCUUUGAGUUUUAAGCUUGCGCUCGUACUCCCCAGGCGGGAUGCUUGUCGCGUUAGCUUCUCAGCACAGAGGGUCGAUACUCCAUACUAAUAGCAUCCAUCGUUUACGGCGUGGACUAC